GGGUCAGUAGGUUGGUCGUGCCACCGGUACGUACUGGUCUCACUGAUUCCUCCUUCCUGAAGAACCGUAAUGCCACUAAUUUGGUGUUGCGGGGAAACAGGACUGUUACUUUGAAAAAAUUAGAGUGUUUAAAGCAAGCUAACGCUUGAAUACAUUAGCACGGAAUAAUGAAAUAGGACGAUCGAUCCUAUUUUGUUGGUUUCUAGGAUUGACGUA
rnacentral:rRNA from 1 species